CCCUAAGAUAAACCCAAGGAUAAUCCAGCAGUGAAAAGCCACGGAGUCCAAAGUUUUCAGGGCUGAACUCGCAAGAACCUGUGAACUUCCAGCAUUUCCCCAGUUAAAAGAAAACAAAUAAGGGCAGAAGAAAUAAGAAAGAGAAAAGAGAAAUGCACCUCCACGCUCAUGGCAACAAUCACGUGACCCGAUGCCCCAGGUUUCCAAGGAGCUGAUCUGCAUGUACACAGGUAGUGUUCCCAGGCACGGAGGACGCAAAUGGGCUCGCAGUUCAUUAAACAGCAAGUGGGCCCCAGGAGACAGUAGCCUCCUGUAAAGAAAAGAACCAGAGGUCCAGAAAAUUUCCUGCCCUUGCUGCCAGAGAAACUUACUAUGUCUCCAAGUAUAAGUGAGGGUUCUGAAGUCCAGAGAGGUGAUUUUUCCAGGGCUGCAGCUAGCCAGUGACAGAGCACAGACCUGGACUUCCUGACAUCCCACCUCCAUGGUCUCCUGCUCCUGCCUACAUUUGGACACCAAUAACCCUCGUCUGUCUGAAGUUAAACUUCUUGUGAUUGCUUUGGGAAACGAUAACUGAAUUAAAAAGGAGUUGGCAGU